GAUGAACGCUGGCGGCGUGCCUAAUACAUGCAAGUCGAGCGAACAGAUGAGGAGCUUGCUCCUCUGACGUUAGCGGCGGACGGGUGAGUAACACGUGGAUAACCUACCUAUAAGACUGGGAUAACUUCGGGAAACCGGAUCUAAUACCGGAUAAUAUAUUAAACCGCAUGGUUCAAUAGUGAAAGACGGUUUUGCGGUCACUGAUAGAUGGAUCCGCGCCGCAUUAGCUAGUUGGUAAGGUAACGGCUUACGAAGGCAACGAUGCGUAGCCGACCUGAGAGGGUGAUCGGCCACACUGGAACUGGGACACGGUCAAGGCUACUACGGGAGGGAGCAGUAGGGAAUCUUACGCAAUGGGCGAAAGCCUGGCGGAGCAACGCAGCGUGAGUGAUGAAGGUCUUCGGAUAGUAAAACUCUGUUAUUGGGGAAGAACAAAUGUGUACGUAAAUAUGCACGUAUUGACGGUACCUAAUCAGAAAGCCACGGCUAACUACGUG
rnacentral:rRNA from 1 species